rnacentral:lncRNA from 1 species
AGAAUAGAAAGUUUUAUAUUUUAUUAACUGUAUGCAACUAUUUACAAACUGCUUUUACAAACUGUUACUUCUUAAUCUGGUGUAAAAUCUUGUAAAACAAACAUUACUGUUUUGUUCUUCAGCUACCUAGUCUUUAUCAGACUAAAUAAAAACUUUAAAAUGUGGCCUCCAUGCCACCUACAUAUAACUACCUUCUUGCCUGGAAAUCGGUGCACCUGAAGAAAAAGAAUAAUGAAAGAAGGAAGUUUCACUCUGCAUCAUCUGCUAAAAGGAGGCAGUCACAUAUUUCUAAAGUAGGGGAAAAGUAUUUAAAAGGGGCUGGGAUAUCUGAUGGAAUGGUACCCCAGGAGCGCUCCAGAAGUUGCACUGUCAGGAGCUGAACAUUAUCCACAAGAGCUAGACAAUGUAUUGCCCAAGAAGCUUGUUCGUCUUAACUGUCUGCUUUAUUGCUACAUCCCUCGGUAAUCGACAAAGCAACAUCCACAAAUGCUUUGAAGGUGUGCAGUGGAGUGAACUUUUAAAUGAGAUUGAGAAACUUAACUCUAGAAGCUAUUCUUUGGAGUGUGAUGAAGUGAGCAACGAAGAAUUGUGCUUUCCUGAGAAAUUGCUAAAAGCAGUAAGUAGUAACAUGAAUGUACUUAGUUGUUUUUCAUUGUAACAUCUGUACUUCACAUAGAUAUGUACCUUGACACAAGACUUCACAUUAGAGGUAUGGCAUAACAAUUGUCAAGGUUUAAAUGGUAAAUCAGAUUAUUGAAUUUUCACUCCAAAUUCUUCUCCCUGAGAGUUUACUGGCUAAUGAAAUAUACCUAGUCACAUACUCUGGAAUCCACCAGGUCUCCCAGGGCUCCCUGCUAUCCAGCAUCAGCUGAAAACAUAAUACCCCAGUUUACUUUGCAAGAAAACACUCCUACUCAAAAGAGAAUACUUCCAACAUCAUGAAGAAACACUUCUUUGGCACAAGUGAUCUUGGAAAACAUUUUUGGAAAUCAGAAAUAUUAUAAAGGAAUAUUUCCUUGCCCAUUUU